GAAAUGCGAUAAGUAGUGUGAAUUGCAGAAUUCAGUGAAUCAUCGAAUCUUUGAACGCACAUUGCGCCCCUUGGUAUUCCAUGGGGCAUGCCUGUUCGAGCGUCAUUUGUACCCUCAAGCUCUGCUUGGUGUUGGGUGUUUGUCCCGUCUCCGCGCGUGGACUCGCCCCAAAGUGAUUGGCAGCCGGGGUACUGGUCCCGGAGCGCAGCACAUGUCGCGCAAACGAGUGCCUUGGUACGGCGGCGUCCAUAAGCCCCUCUCUCACGCUCUUGACCUCGGAUCAGGUAGGGAUACCCGCUGAACUUAAGC
rnacentral:misc_RNA from 1 species